rnacentral:rRNA from 1 species
UUAUACUGCGAGACUGCGGACGGCUCAUUAAAACAGUCACAAUCUAUUCGAUGAUUCUUACUACUCGGAUAACCGUAGUAAUUCUACAGNUAAUACGUGCACAAACACCAGGCUCGCUCUGGUGGUAUUUAUUAGAUCAAACGCCAAUAGACUUACGUCUUUCGGUGAAUCAUAGUAACUUCUCGGAUCGGUCUCAGACCGACAAAUCGUUCGAAUUUCUGCCCUAUCAGCUUUCGAUGGUAGGAUAGAGGCCUACCAUGGCUUUAACGGGUGACGGAGAAUUAGGGUUCGAUUCCGGAGAGGGAGCCUGAGAAACGGCUACCACAUCCAAGGAAGGCAGCAGGCGCGCAAAUUACCCAAUCCCGACUCGGGGAGGUAGUGACAAGAAAUAACAAUAGCCGGUUAAUUACGAUUGGCUAAUUGGAAUGAGUACAAUUUAAAUCUCUUAACGAGGAUCCAUU